CCUUACCUGGACUCGAAAUGUAGUCGACGGCCUCAGAGAUGAGGCUUUCCCGCAAGGGACGGCUGCAUAGGUGCUGCAUGGCUGUCGUCGGCUCGUGUCGUGAGAUGUUGGGUUAAGUCUCGCAACGAGCGCAACCCUCAUCCUUAGUUGCUCGUCCCGAUUUAUCGGGAAAGCACCCUAAGGGAGCCGCCUCGGAUAACGGGGAGGAAGGUGGGGAUGACGUCAAGUCCUCAUGGCCUUUAUGCCCAGGGCUACACACGUGCUACAAUGGCCGGUACAAAGCGUCGCGAACCCGCGAGGGGGAGCCAAUCGCAAAAAACCGGUCUCAGUUCGGAUUGCAGUCUGCAACUCGACUGCAUGAAGCUGGAAUCGCUAGUAAUCGCGUAUCAGAACGACGCGGUGAAUACGUUCCCGGGCCUUGUACACACCGCCCGUCACAUCACGAAAGUGGGCUGUACUAGAAGUCGUGAUUCCAACCGCAAGGGGGAUAGCGCCCAAGGUAUGACCCAUGAUUGGGGUG
rnacentral:rRNA from 1 species